GUGGUGGUUCUCAUGGUUGAAUUGGACAGCUCCAUCAUCGAACCCUACCCUAAAAUGGUCCUCAGAAAGAGUUGUCGUCUUUCUGCUUCUGACCGUGACCUUUAAUCCAUUUUCUUCUCCGGUUACAAGCCCUACGAUUCGCUCCACUGCAUUCCCAAUUGUCACCAUUGUUUCGACCUUGAUGACAUCGAUGGAUGGCUUCUCAUAUGAGUGCUACUUACCACUUGUGUCAAAAUUCCCCUGCUCCAACCCUUGUUGCUACUCCUUUCUUUGAGUUUGUGCCUCUGGUUUCCAAAUCUAGAAUGUCCUGUGGGUACUUUCAAGAAUAUCAGUGGAUCUGAUAGAGCUCUUUGUCAACAAUGCAAUCUUGAUGAGCUUCCACAUCGGGCCAUUUAUGUAUCUGUUCGAGGUGUCAGAGGAGGGUGAUGGAAUUGACCUAGAACUAGUCGACGGGUGAUUGUGGAAAUCAUUCUGUCUUGACAGCUGUAUCAAGAGGGUUCAGAC